rnacentral:rRNA from 1 species
UGGGGAAUAUUGGACAAUGGGCGAAAGCCUGAUCCAGCCAUGCUGCGUGUGUGAAGAAGGUCUUCGGAUUGUAAAGCACUUUAAGUUGGGAGGAAGGGCAGUUACCUAAUACGUGAUUGUCUUGACGUUACCGACAGAAUAGGCACCGGCUAACUCUGUGCCAGCAGCCGCGGUAAUACAGAGGGUGCAAGCGUUAAUCGGAAUUACUGGGCGUAAAGCGCGCGUAGGUGGUUUGUUAAGUUGGAUGUGAAAUCCCCGGGCUCAACCUGGGAACUGCAUUCAAAACUGACAGGCUAGAGUAUGGUAGAGGGUGGUGGAAUUUCCUGUGUAGCGGUGAAAUGCGUAGAUAUAGGAAGGGACACCAGUGGCGAAGGCGACCACCUGGACUGAUACUGACACUGAGGUGCGAAAAGCGUGGGGGAGCAAAACAGGAUUAGAUACCCCUGGUAGUCCGCGCCGUAAAACGAUGUCAACUAGCCGUUGGGAGCCUUGAGCUCUUAGUGGCGCAGCUAAACGCAUUAAGUUGACCGCCUGGGGAGUACGGCCGCAAG